UACGUAGGGAGCAAGCGUUGUCCGGAAUCAUUGGGCGUAAAGCGCGCGUAGGUGGCCUCAUAAGUCCGCUGUGAAAGUCAAAGGCUCAACCUUUGAAAGCCGGUGGAUACUGUGAGGCUAGAGUACGGAAGAGGCGAGUGGAAUUCCUGGUGUAGCGGUGGAAUGCGCAGAUAUCAGGAGGAACACCGGUGGCGAAGGCGGAUCUCUGGGCCGAUACUGACGCUGAGGAGCGAAAGCGUGGGGAGCGAACAGG
rnacentral:rRNA from 1 species